AAAGGACAACACUCACAAGGAACCAUGAAGCCAGCGAUCCGUGUCACCUAGAUAUUUAGCUUUCAUUUUGUACAACUCAUGUCUCAUACUAGCAUCUUUUAGCUAUACUUUUGUGAACCUGAUGUAUGGUGUCCUAGUGGUUAUGCUUAGAACAGACUAAAGCAUGUGUAUGUGACAAUUAAUUAAUGGAAUAAAAAACGUUUGGUGCA
rnacentral:lncRNA from 1 species